rnacentral:lncRNA from 1 species
AAGCGUCCUCAGAACUCAGGAAGGAGGUGGUGGGAGCUGCCCCCUCUGCCGCUUUGGGACCCCAGCUGGGUAUUCACGUGGUGCUCAGCGGAGCCCCUUCCUCCCAAGCAGGAGUCAGCACUGAAGUCCCUGGGGACAGAAGGCCUCUUUCUCUUUUCCUCCUUGGACACAGACCGGGAUUUGUACAUCAGCCCGGAGGAGUUCAAGCCCAUUGCUGAGAAGCUGACAGGUACCAGGAGAGGCUGGGGACUGGGGUGGGGAGCACCGAGGCAUGGCCCUCAGCUUCUUGGCCACUGUGUUUGCUCUGAGCAGGAAGGCCACCUGGAGAGGGAGAUGAUGGGUCCUGACGGCCCUGGGAUUCUCCCUGCCCUGACACUUUCUAGUUGGCGGUUUGGGCGAGCUCUUCUAGCACCGCCUGAGCCUGUUCUCAAGUGCAAAUACUAGUUAAGGUUGCCUGACCCCUUCCAGACAUGACUUGAAGCACUUCAUCUGCGUUCUCUCUUUAAUUUGCACGGUGUCCCGUUGAGGUAGCCGCUGUCCUAAUUCUCGCGUUUAUAGUUGGGGAGACUGAGGCGCAGAGCCAGGAUUAGAACCGGGGCCAUCUGGCUCCAGGUCCCGCACCUGUUCACAGGUUUGAGGGUUAGAGACAGUACCUGCAGAGUAUACAGUAGCUAGCUUUCAAUAGGAGUUCUCACUAGUAUUACUCAGUAUUAAACUCUGCUUAGGUGCUGUCAGAUUCCUAGCCCGUUCUAGCAAUCCAUUUUUACCUAAUUGUAAUCAGUUAUUUUUUUUUUUUUAUAAAGAUGAGGGCCUGAAUCAUUCUAAUGAAUUGUUAAAUGCCUCUCAUUGUCUUACCCUUGCCCCAACCGCUGUGUCUGUUUCUCUCCCAUUUCUUGAACUUGGGAUCUUGUUAUCCAAAUUGGUGGGUGUAAGUAGGUCAGUAGAUGAUGGCAAAGGCAAGGGAGAGAUGCCGGCCGCUCUCGGGCGAGUAAGCACCGAGCACGUGAUGGGCUUUCCGUGUCUCAGGCUGGGUCAGGGAGGUUGGCCACUUGCCGGCCCAGUGACCACAGUCCCCGCCAGAGGAGGAGGGUCAGUUGAAAAGUGUGAAUUUGCUGGAGCAGACGUGUGUCAGUGUCUCUCAGUGACGUUCAGCUCUGUCGUGAAAGCAGAUGGGCAGGUAAACAGGUCAGCCUCGUGCGGAUUUGCUUUGACCUUUUCUAUCUGCAGACACUUCUCUGAGCAUCCACACAGCCUCCUCCUUGUCCUUUUUUAUGGACAGCGAGGGUGGGUUCCCUCAUAAUGACAAGCUCUCUGGGCUUGAGGGCACUUUUAAUUUUUUUCGCAUUUAUUUAUUUUUGAGAGACAGAGACAGCGUGAGCAGGGGAGGGGUAGAGAGAGAAGGAGAUCUAAAGCAGGCUCCAGGCUCUGAGCAGGCUGUCAGCACAGAACCCGACAUGGGGCUUGAACCCAUGAACCAAGAGAUCAUGACCUGAGCUGAAGUCGGAUGCUCAACUGACUGAGCUACCCAGGAGCCCCCCCCGCUUUUUUUUUCUCAUAAAUCUUUUUCUCCAUCAGGGGAAAAUAAUCCCUCUCUCCAUUACCUCGUAGGCCACUACGAGGGCAAAACUGAACCAAGUUUCAGGAAAACAAAAACUAAAAUAAUUCAAAGCCAAAAAUAUCAAAUCUAUGCAGGAAACAGAAGCAGGCUGUCUAGUUGGUACAGUUAUGAGUGUGUUUAAUUUUCUUUAUAUCUUCAAGGUUUUACGAAUUGUCUGUAUUGAGUCACUUGUAAGGAAAUAAAACUUUUUAUGAAAAAAAGCAGAAGGCCAUAAGAUACUGGACACUGUUAUUAAUAAUUAUCUCUGAUAACAGUAAAAGAAUUGAAAAAACCAGGCAGGCCUAAUAAGCUUACACAUUCCUAUUGUUCCCUUCCUCCAAGGUUUCCUGAUUGCUCUUUGGAAAGUUUUGCUGCAUUGGCUUGCAAAUGCAGAAAUAACAAUGGUUCUUUAGAACAGGGGUUUGCAUCAGGAGCUGCUGGGGAGUGCUGAUUAAAAGGGCAGUUUCCUAGGGGCGCCUGCGUGGCUCAGUCGGUUAAGCGUCUGACUUCGGCUCAGGCCAUGAUCUCCUGGCUCGUGAGUUCGAGCCCCGCGCAGCUCAGAGCCUGGAGCCUGCUUCGGAUUCUGUGUCUCUGCCCCUCCCAUGCUCAAGCUCUGUCCCUCUCUGUCUCUGGAUAAUAAAUAAAUGUUAAAAAAAAUUAAAAAAAAAAGGGGGGGGCAGCUUCCUCAUUCUAGCCCCUUAGGAUUCUGGCUCAGUAGGUUUGAGGAGGAUACGGGGCAUCUGUAGUUUAAAAAGACAUCCUGAGUGAUUCUGAUGAUUCCUGGUUAAGAACUGCUCCGCACGCACCCAGUUGGUCUGUCAGUAGGUUCAUCAGCAGAUGCCAAGCAUCAUCUCUGUACCACGAACCUGCCCGGGGACAGCAGCCUGACAAGACCUUCCACUCACUGUCUUUUUCCUUAGAGGUGUCCAGGGCCCCUCCCUCCUGUUAGUCACCCCUUCUGAAAUAGGCUUCAUUUCUCCCUAAACCUCCAUCAUGACUCCGUCCACACUUGAAGGGCUUGGACUUGGCAUGCCUCGGGCAGGAAAAGAUCUAAGAAAUCAAGUUCAGCCACUGCCGCCCCUCCUUUUACGGAUGGGGAAACAAGGCCACCCAGAAAACCAGGGAGAAGCAAGCGUCCUCUCUUCCAAACUGGCAUUCUUGAGGACGUUGUAGCCGCAGAGCUUAUGACACCAAAGACAGUGUCAAAGGUGGUUUGUUUCUCACUUUCAUUCCUUGUUCUGAUCGAGUCUCUGACAAGCGUUCGUUUCCUCACAAGGCCCCCAUGACAGGGACAUGCAGGGCAGCACGGUGUCCAUUCCCCAUGUGGGAAAACCAGAGGGGCUGAGGGAUUUGCCCCAGAUCACCCAGGAGAUGGAACCGACCUCAGCCUAGAGCCCGCGUGCUCUCUUCUCCAAGCCCCAGACAGUAGCUUCUCUUUGGUGCUAGGACCCCGGCCGCCAGGAGAGGCAGCUGCCUGCCCAGAUGUUGCCUUUGGUGAGCCCAACACCAAGUUCAUCUCGGACUCAGUUUGCAGAACAAGGGAGGGGGGACGAGAGUGGCCUUUCUGCAGCCAGCUUGGCCUGGUAGAGCAUGGGAUGGAGUCAGAAGAAUUUGGUUUGAGCCCUAGCUCUGUGGCAACCCGACCCUGAAACCUCCGGUAGGAGUAACAUAGGUCAAGUUUAUUAUGGGUUCACUCUGUACCAAACCUGGUGCUACCGCUACAUGAAUUCUCUCAUCCCGUCCUCAUAACAAGCCACUGGCCAGACAUCAUACGGCUGCUAAGGGGCGGGAUUUGAACCCACCUCACCUGGUGCCUGAGCCUUUAAGGAAACUGAGUCUUUGAGAUCACAAUGCCCUAAGAAGAGGGUCAUGGUUGAUUGUGGGUUUAGAGUAAAACAAGUCUGGGUUUGAAUCCUGACUCCCCCCACUACCUAGCUGUGUGACCUUUGGGAAGUGACUUCACCUCUCUGAACCUCUGCUUUCUCAUGUGUGAGAUAGAGUUGGCAAUGAUGGUAUUCUCUGCUUCUCAGAGCUCCAGGGAAACAAAAAUGUGAUACUUACUUGUCGUUACUUCGGUCCGUUAACUGUUACUCCAGCUCCAAGCCUGGCUCUCUCACUCACCUGCUACUCACCUGUCUCUUCUCAGGGCUUCCCCUUCCCGAGAAGAGAGGCCCUGAAGCCUGAGAGCAGGGCCCCUCUCCGGGGACCUCACUGACCGUGUCUCAUAGGCUCAGCUCCUGCUGCCAGCUAUGAGGAGGAGCUGCCCCUUGACCCCAGCGAGGAGACGCUCACCAUAGAAGCCCGAUUCCAGCCUCUGAUCCCGGAGUCCAUGACCAAGAGCAAAGAUGGGUUCCUGGGGGUGAGUUUGCGGGGCGGGGGGGCAGUGGAGGCUGCUCACAGGUGGGACCACAGAUACAGAAUCAUCUGUGCACACGCACCUUCACCUCCUGAGAAUCGGUCU